rnacentral:rRNA from 1 species
GACGAACGCUGGCGGCGUGCCUAAUACAUGCAAGUAGAACGCAGUCGCGAACGGGUGAGUAACGCGUAGGUAACUGCCUCAUAGCGGGGGAUAACUAUUGGAAACGAUAGCUAAUACUGCAUACUGUGAGUUGGACCUGCGUUGUAUUAUCUAGUUGGUGCGGUAAAGGCUAACAAAGGUGACGAUACAUAGCCAACCGGAGAGGGUCAGCGGCCACACUGGGCCUGUGGCACGGCCCAUACUCCUCCGGCAGGCAGCAGUAGGGAAUCAUCUGCUAUGGACUGAAAUCUGGCCGAGCAGCACCACGUGAGUGAGGAAGGUUAUCGAAUCGUAAAACUCUGUUGUUAGAGAAGCGGGGUCUAACCAGAAAUCCACGGCUAACUACGUGCCGGCAGCCGCGGUAAUAC